AUACUUACCUGGACGGGGUCAAUGGGCGAUCAAUAAGACCCAUGGCCUAGGUUGGUGACCUCCAUUGCACUUUGGAGGGAUGCCAGCCUAAGGUCGAUCCAAGUGAUCGAGCCUACGUCAUAAUUUGUGGUAGCGGGAGGCCAGCGUUCGCGCGGUCCCUAC
rnacentral:snRNA from 1 species